GACGAACGCUGGCGGCGUGCUUAACACAUGCAAGUCGAGCGGAGCGGCGAACGGGUGAGUAACGCGUGAGUAAAUGCCCCCCUCUCUGGGAUAACAGUUGGAAACGGCUGCUAAUACCGGAUAGUGGGGGAUGACUCGCGUCCUAUCAGCUUGUUGGUGGGGUAGUGGCCUACCAAGGCGACUACGGGUAGCCGGCCUGAGAGGGCGACCGGACACAUUGGGCUGAUGUACGGCCCAAACGCCUACGGGAGGCAGCAGUGGGGAAUAUUGCACCAUGGGUGAAACCCUGAUGCAGCAACGCGCGGGCGGGAUGACUGCCGUCGGAUUGUAAUCCGCUGUCAGCCAUGACGCGGUAGUGGCAGAAGAAGCACCGGCUAACUACGUGCCAGCAGCCGCGGUAAUUC
rnacentral:rRNA from 1 species